rnacentral:misc_RNA from 1 species
GAUGAAGAACGUAGCGAAAUGCGAUAAGUAAUGCGAAUUGCAGAAUUUCCGUGAGUCAUCGAAUCUUUGAACGCACAUUGCGCCCACUGGUAUUCCGGUGGGCAUGCCUGUUCGAGCGUCAUUAUCCUCCCUCAAACCUCGGGUUUGGUGUUGGACCCAAGUUGUGUGAACAACUGGUCUCAAAGACAAUGACGGCGUCCGUGGGACCCUCGGUGCAACGAGCUUUUAGGAGCACGCGUCGAGUUUCAAGGACCUUCCGGGCCGGUCUCCUUUACUAUUUUUACAAGGUUGACCUCGGAUCAGGUAGGAAUACCCGCUGAACUUAAGCAUAUCAAAAGCGGAGGA